UGCCUGCCUUGGCAUCCCAAAAUGCUGGGAUUACAGGCAUGAGCCACUGCGCCCAGCCUGCCUAUGCUGUUUUUUCUGCCUAGUGUGCAUAUUUCUCUCCUGGCCUUCAGAUGACCUGUCACUCGUUUUUCAGGACCCAACUCAUAGGACACUUCCUCUUUCAAGAGGAAUGCCAGAUGAGCUUUUGGAGAGAGAAGGUUAGCCAUUAAGGGGGAAAAAAAGAAAGAUAGGGCCAGAGUUGUAACAUUUGGUAAACUCUGUUAAUGGACUUGAUAUGUUAUGGUUAUUUGUGCAUUUGUCUCUUUCUCUCAGAUUUACUGUUUUGUGUUUAUAUCCUUAGUAUACAGCAUAAGUGCUCAAUAAAUGUUUGUUAAAUAAGUGAAGUAGGUAUGGGGAGGGAACAACUGUUUAUUGAGCACCUAUUGUAAGCCUAUAUGCUUUUCACACAUCAUCUCAUUUAAACCUCAAAACAAUUUUUUUGAUUUAAGUAUUAUUUGCUAAUAAGAAACAGUCGCAGAGGACAUAAAUACUUACCUCUCUCCCCACCCACAAAGGUUAUGGGUUUGUGAGGAAUGGAACUAAAGUUGGAACCUAGGUCUGUCUGACUCCAAAACUUUCCUCUCUUGUGUGAUUCUCAGACAGGGACAAUUUUGUCCCCCCUUUCUGGGGACAUUUGGCAAUGUCUGGAGAUAUUCUUGGUUAUUAUAAUGGGGAUGUUACUGGCGUCUAGUGGGUACAGGUCAGGUGUGCUGCUAGGCAUCUUCCAAUGCACAGAAAAGCCCCACAACAAAGAAUUAUCUGGCCCUGAAUGCCAGUAGUGCCAAGGUUCAGUGUCUUCAUCUGUUUGAGCUGCUGUAAUAAAAUAGCAUAGACUGGAUAGUUUAUAAAUAACAGAAAUUCAUUUCUCACAGUUCUGGAGGCCAGGAAGUCCGAGAUCAAGGUGCCAGCAGAUUUGAUGUCUGGUGAGGGAUACUUCCUGGUUCAUAGAUAGCCAUCUUCUGUUUUUGUCUUCACAUGAUGGAACGGUUACAGAAACCAACUUUAGCUAAAGGACUUAAAGGAUACUGGACAAUCCAUAAAUCCCUAGGAAAGAACUGAACAAGGAAGUCUGGGGAGGCAAGAAAUUGGACAGUUUGGGGACUUCCACAGCAGGUGACCAACUCCAGUGACCUCGUUUCCAGAUCUCUAUAUUUGGGUUUUAAAUUAACAAGAGAGGAGUUAGCUGUUGGGACUUGUACCAGAGAAGGGGAAAUCAUGAGCCAAGGAAUCACCUUGGUUGUUGACCAAAGUCAUUAUCAUAUUGGUUUAGAGCAGGUGUCCUAUCUUGAAAAGUGUGCGAGACUAAUACCCAAGUCUUCUGAUUGCCACUUACACGCAGCAUGCUCUCAAGGCACAUUCACAAUUUCUUAAUAUUUUAAAAACUAAUUAAUAGGGUUUGGGUAGGAAUAGAGUGGGGGACUUUCAGGCAAAGGGAACAAAAAGUGCAGUGGCCUUCAGGUAGGAUGAACUUGGCAUCCCAGAAAUAGAAAAGGCUCUUGUGGCUAGAGAAUUAUCUGCAAGGAGUAAAGAGUAGAAGAAGGGCAUUCAGAGGCUUGAUUGCAUCAUGGUGAGAAGUUCAGAGGUUUUUUUUUUUGUUUGCUUGUUUAUUUUCCUAUGUGCAGCCGAAAGCCACUGAAGAGAUUUAAGCAGAUAUGAAUUACAUUUUUUGAAAAACACUCCAGCUGCUCAAUGGAGAAUGGAUUCUGUGAAGGCUUGAAUAAGAGUGACAGUACUAGAGAUGGUAAGAAGUGGGUUGAUUCAGCAUGCAUUUUUGUAUCUUGGGGAGAGAACUGGCAGAACUUGUUGACGGAUUUGGUGUCAGGGAAAAGAAAAGGGAAAUCCAAAGUGGGUGCUAGGCUUUUGGCUUGGGCAACUAGAUGGAUGGUAAUGUUCUUCACUGAAUUAUGAAGACUGAUGGAAGGAGUAGUUUUAGGGAGGAAGACGGUUUGGAAUCGAUCGUGUCAAGUGUGAGAUGUCAGCAGUCUUAGUGAGGAAGUCAGAGGGACAGUCAGAUAUAUAUUUGGGAAUCACCAGAUUAUAAAUGUUGCUUAAAGACAAGGGCCUGGGUGGGAUUGCUUGGGGGGCCUAAGACCGAGCUCUGGGCACUGUAAUAUUAGAUAAUCUAGCUGGGCAGCAAUGGGCAAAGGAAACUGGGGAGAAGUCAGUUAAGUCAGAGAAAUGCUGUAUUAUUUUUAAAGUGUGGGAUUUUUUUUUUUAUUUUUUUUGAGACAGAGUCUCACUCUGUUGCCCAGGCUGGAGUGGAGUGCAGUGAUACCAUUAUGGCUAACUUCAGCCUUGACCUCCUGGGCUCAAGCGAUCCUCCUGCCUCAGCCUCCCAAGUGGUUAAGACCACAGGUGCAUGCUGCCAUGCCUGUCUAAUUUUUGUUUUUUGAUUUUUUGUAGAGAUGAGGUCUCACUUUGUUGCCCAGGCUGGUUUCAAACUCCUAGGCUCAAGCUAUCCUCCUGCUUCAGCCUCCCAGAGUGUUAGGAUUACAGGUGUAAGCCACUGCACCCGGCCAAAGUUUGGGCUCUUAAUUUAUAGUUCUUUAUAGAUGUUUGUAAUUUCUCUAUAUGAUAGUUUAUUUUGGACACUUGUGUUGUUUAUGAAUCUAUUCUCAUAGUAGUCUAGUAAAUGUUACACACUUUGCAGCUCUAGAUUUUUCCUUGCUUAAAUUGUUGGCAAAAUCUCUCUAGUUUUAUCUUUCUGUGUGUUUGAGGGGCUGGGAGCCAUCCCCUGUUAACUGGGCAUGGAAGGAAGGCCAAGUCUGCCAUUAAGUCUCUUUUUGAGCCUGUAUAUAUUUGCAUAAGGUCCAUUAACUAUAUUAAGUGGUCAUAGAUAAACCAGAUACUUAUAGGCAACUCUAAUAAACUACAUGCAGCUUUGUAGAUUAUUUGCAAUAAAAUUUUAAUUUUAACAAUCCUUUAAUUGUUAAAUUAAAGCCUGCCUAAGCUCUCUUGUAGUAUUUUGCAUAUGUCUGGGGUGGAUCUCUUUAUUGGCUUUUGGCAUAUGCGUUUGGUUUAAAGCAGUCCAAGCAAAACAUAAGUAGAAAGGUAGGCUUACUGAUUAUAUAUGGUAUAUAUAUUUACACACACACACACACAGAGUAAACAGCCAUAAGAACUAUGUCCAGCUCUUUCUAAUAUAGCUAAGUAACUGUAACAGUCAGUUAGUCCACCUGAGGACCCCAGCUUUAUUUUUUAAGUAAAAAUAAAAAUCUUACUUGUUAUCAAAACAAUAUGUUCCUUAUAGUAAAACAGAAGCAAAAUUUUUAAAUAGGAAAUUUGGAACACAAUAAUCAUAACUCCACCAUCCAGGGAUAACCACUGUUAAUAUCUAAGGUUGUAUUCUUCCAGAUCAUUGUAUAUAUACUGUAGAGUUUGGAGUCAUACUAUUCAUUUUAAUUUAAAAUAAACUUAAAAAAAACUUA